GAUCCGUAACUUCGGGAUAAGGAUUGGGUCUGAAGAUUGAGAUAGUCGGGCUUGAUUGGGAAGCAAUAAUAUGGUUUAUGUACUCGUUCUAAGUAAAUAGAGAUUUUCGGAUCUUGUUCCUCGGAUAGCAGUUACGUAACCAAUUGUGGAACUUUCCUGCUAAAAUUUUUAAGGGAUUAUCGCAAGAUAUAUUCUUUUUAAAUUAUAACGAUUAUCAAUUAACAAUCAAUUCAGAACUGGCAC
rnacentral:ncRNA from 1 species